UACGGGGGGGGCAAGCGUUGUUCGGAAUUACUGGGCGUAAAGGGUUCGUAGGUGGCUUUCUAAGUCAGACGUGAAAUCCCUCAGCUUAACUGGGGAACUGCGUCUGAGACUGGCGAGCUUGAGUGCAGGAGAGGAACGCGGAAUUCCAGGUGUAGCGGUGAAAUGCGUAGAUAUCUGGAGGAACACCGGUGGCGAAGGCGGCGUUCUGGACUGUUACUGACACUGAGGAACGAAAGCCAGGGGAGCAAACGGG
rnacentral:rRNA from 1 species